rnacentral:rRNA from 1 species
GACAGAGGGUGCAAACGUUGUUCGGAAUUACUGGGCGUAAAGCGCGUGUAGGCUGCUUCGCAAGUCGGAUGUGAAAGCCCUGGGCUCAACCCAGGAAGUGCAUUCGAAACUGCAGAGCUGGAGUCCUGGAGAGGAAGGCGGAAUUCUCGGUGUAGAGGUGAAAUUCGUAGAUAUCAGGAGGAAUACCGAUGGCGAAGGCAGGUCUCUGGGCUGACACUGACGCUCAUGCACGAAAGCGUGGGGAGCAAACAGG